AUGCAAGUCAACUUGACUGAAGAGCAAGUCUGACAGUAGAGUGGCGCAAGGGUGACGUAACGCGUAAGUAACUGCCCAAGGUAGGAAUAACGUCGAGAAUCCGGCGCUAAGUACCUCAUAAUGCAGCGGAUCCGCAUGGAUAUGUUGUUAAAGGUUUACCGCCUUGGGAUAGGCUUGCGUCUGAUUAGCUAGUUGGUGUGGUAACGGCACACCAAGGCUACGAUCAGUAACUGGUCUGAGAGGAUGAUCAGUCACACUGGAACUGAGACACGGUCCAGACUCCUACGGGAGGCAGCAGUGAGGAAUAUUGGGCAAUGCUCGAAAGAGUGACCCAGCAACGCCGCGUGGAGGAUGAAGGUAUUCUAUAUCGUAAACUCCUGUGAGAGCAGACGAAAGACAGAUUAUUAAUCUGGAUGACUGUAUGCUCAGAGGAAGCCCCGGCUAACUACGUG
rnacentral:rRNA from 1 species